UUCUGUUGGCGUGCAAAGUUCAAUCAGAUAUUCUCUGCUGAUGCAGAGGCACAUGUCACAAAGGGGGACACAAGCUGGCUCCAGGUGUGGCCAAAAAAGUGUGCAGUGAUGUUCUCUAGUCUAUUUUUUUUUCCUUUUUCUCUAUUCUGGCUUCUCAAUAUGAUGUCUAGUCUAAUCAAGCAAAUUCACUUAUAAGCAGGUGAAAGUUCAAGAAAGGGGCCUCAGAAGUCUUCUGGUUUGGCCCAUUCCUUUGUGAUGAAGGUUCUAGACAUAGGGACUGGGGUUUGUGUGAGGUCACCCAGGUGAUUGCACAGCGCCAGCCCUCAAAGCCAGGUCUAGGGCUCCAUCCCACUUCCCAAGAUGCCCUGAAGUCUUGAGGUGUCUGCUAGGAAAGCGUUGCAUUACUGGGCCAGGAAAGAAGCUUCAUAUUACAACAGGCUGACAUGUUUUUAGCUCAAGAGUGGAGACUUCUGUCAAUCAUGUGGGAUCAUGAAUGCCUGAAAGGUUGGAGGUCCAUGCGUUGACCAAGAAGAACUCCAGCUGCUUCAGAUUGCUUGAUUGUCACUGAAAAGUACACUCAAUAUGAAGAAGAUUGCAGUUAACUGGAGAUUAAAAUUAGAUGUCUUAAUAAGGCAAAUCAUUUCAACGUAUGUCUUCCCUUUCUUUGAUUUCCUCUCAUGUGUAUUAUAACACCUCUUACUAGAGGGCUCCAGAAG
rnacentral:lncRNA from 1 species